GAUGACGCUAGCGGGAGGCUUAACACAUGCAAGUCGAGGGGCAUCACGAGGUAGCAAUACUUUGGUGGCGACCGGCGCACGGGUGAGUAACACGUAUGCAACCUACCCUGUACAGGGGGAUAACCCGGAGAAAUUCGGACUAAUAUCCCAUACAAUUAUUGGAGGGCAUCCUUUGAUAAUUAAAGCUCAGGCGGUAUAGGAUGGGCAUGCGGAACAUUAGCUAGUUGGUAGGGUAACGGCCUACCAAGGCUACGAUGUUUAGGGGACCUGAGAGGGUUAUCCCCCACACUGGUACUGAGACACGGACCAGACUCCUACGGGAGGCAGCAGUGAGGAAUAUUGGUCAAUGGGCGCAAGCCUGAACCAGCCAUCCCGCGUGAAGGAAGAAGGCCCUAUGGGUUGUAAACUUCUUUUCCAGGGGGUGAAUAAUUCCGAUGUAUCGGGAGAUGACGGUACCCUGGGAAUAAGCAUCGGCUAACUCCGUG
rnacentral:rRNA from 1 species